GGAAGGGAAGGGAAGGCGCCGGGCGGCGCUUCGGUGGCGGCUGCGGUGGAAAAGGUCAGCAUCCGCACACUAAAGCAGAUGUAAGCAUGGAGGGAGUCUACGCCUGAGACUGCAUUUUUGUGUGAAUCAGAGCUAGAACGGCCAAGAAACGGCCUCAGAGUAGGGUUUCAUGAUCAGCAGACUCCGAUCUCGGUGUGGCCGAGGGCUGCGGGCAGGUGUGGACAUCAGCGCUCCCGUGGGCCUGCACCCCCACAGAGGAGGGCGCCAGCCCACCUGCAAAUUAAGACUGCAACAAAUUCGUAGUUUCCAUCCUAGCUGGUUCCCUAGCCAAGUCCAUAGAUAGUUACAAGCACGACUGGGAUAGGAGCACCACUUGCCGUAGCAGCACCAUGUAUUUAGGUUCAAUUAAGCCCAUCAGGAAACGGCACCUUGACAAAUGGUGUUCGUGUAGCCUCAAGAUAAGUGAAGAUAAUGCUUUCUGAACUCCGCACUGCUUAGAAGGCUGCUUUAGGAUUCAGAAAAGGAAAUCGUCUCUUGAAAAUUGUUCUUAGUAUGGAGAAAGAUAUGCAUUUUGUAAAUAAUUUUAAAAGCUGUUCUUUAAACAAUUUUCAAGUAUGCAGCCUGUUUCUGUCUUGAUACAGACAUGUGCAACAUCAUCUAAAAUACUGACUUAUAUCUGAGGUUGAGAGAAAUAAAAAUACUUUAUGAAGUAUGGAGAAA